rnacentral:misc_RNA from 1 species
AACCUUGGCAUGGAAUUGCAACAGGUAAGCACCAGGGAAGGCUGGUGAUUACCAGUUGUAAUUCAAGUGAGCGCCUCGUUGCGCUUACAUGGUUCUUUAAAAAUAAAUUAGAGAGUCUGAAGUAAAGCCGCAGAAUGAGAGCAAUCUCAUUUUGUAAGGAUGCGCGCAUGUAUUGACGCAUCCGGGUGAUCGCACUGCAUAUUGUCAGCCCAUAGAUCCAAGAAUCCUGUCUCGGAUUACAUCCCGUGCCAGACCAU